CUUCAAUCAACCGGGUUCAGGUUCAAAAAAACGUACAAGACAAUUUAAUGAUAUGGAGUCUAAAUCUGCAUCGAUACAUGUCUUGCUAAAUUGCCCGGAAGUUCAACGAUAUUAUGACUACUUUGUGCAUCUAAAUGGCAUUGAAAAAGUGUACGACCAGUUUGGGAAGUGGUUUAACAAUUAUGUUUACAGUACAGAGUAUGGUUACCAUGACCAACUUUUAAAGGACAUAUCUUGGGGACCCGGUAUGGUCUAUUCUAUGGACAAAUAUGUGGUAAAUGGUUUUAAAUUUACUACCGAAGAACGAU